GCGGGGGUACCCAAGCCAGGUCUAAAUAGAGGGUCAGACCGACCCCUAAGAUAGGGGGGAGGACUUAAGAUCCUCUGGCGUAGGCCUUCGCGGGUUCAAAUCCCGCCCCCCGCACCA
rnacentral:tRNA from 1 species